UACAGAGGGGGCAAGCGUUGUUCGGAAUUACUGGGCGUAAAGGGCGCGUAGGCGGCCCGCUAAGUCGAACGUGAAAUCCCCGAGCUCAACUCGGGAACUGCGUCCGAUACUGGCGGGCUUGAAUCCGGGAGAGGGAUGCGGAAUUCCAGGUGUAGCGGUGAAAUGCGUAGAUAUCUGGAGGAACACCGGUGGCGAAGGCGGCAUCCUGGACCGACACUGACACUGAGGAGCGAAAGCCAGGGGAGCAAACGGG
rnacentral:rRNA from 1 species